rnacentral:rRNA from 1 species
GAUGAACGCUGGCGGCGUGCCUAAUACAUGCAAGUCGAGCGAACAGAUGAGGAGCUUGCUCCUCUGACGUUAGCGGCGGACGGGUGAGUAACACGUGGAUAACCUACCUAUAAGACUGGGAUAACUUCGGGAAACCGGAGCUAAUACCGGAUAAUAUAUUGAACCGCAUGGUUCAAUAGUGAAAGACGGUUUUGCUGUCACUUAUAGAUGGAUCCGCGCCGCAUUAGCUAGUUGGUAAGGUAACGGCUUACCAAGGCAACGAUGCGUAGCCGACCUGAGAGGGUGAUCGGCCACACGGGAACUGAGACACGGUCCAGACUCCUACGGGAGGCAGCAGUAGGGAAUCUUCCGCAAUGGGCGAAAGCCUGACGGAGCAACGCCGCGUGAGUGAUGAAGGUCUUCGGAUCGUAAAACUCUGUUAUUAGGGAAGAACAAAUGUGUAAGUAACUAUGCACGUCUUGACGGUACCUAAUCAGAAAGCCACGGCUAACUACGU